rnacentral:rRNA from 1 species
UGGCGAGUGGCGAACGGGUGAGUAAUAUAUCGGAACGGUGCCCGGUCUGGGGGAUAACGUAGCGAAAGCUACGCUAAUACCGCAUACGAUCUACGGAUGAAAGCGGGGAUCGCAAGACCUCGCGCGAUUGGAGCGGCCGAUAUCAGAUUAGGUAGUUGGUGAUGUAAAGGCUCACCAAGCCGACGAUCUGUAGCUGGUCUGAGAGGACGACCAGCCACACUGGGACUGAGACACGGCCCAGACUCCUACGGGAGGCAGCAGUGGGGAAUUUUGGACAAUGGGCGCAAGCCUGAUCCAGCAAUGCCGCGUGCAGGAUGAAGGCCUUCGGGUUGUAAACUGCUUUUGUACGGAACGAAACGGUGAGCUCUAAUACAGUUUGCUAAUGACGGUACCGUAAGAAUAAGCACCGGCUAACUACGUG